UGAACGCUGGCGGCGUGCCUAAUACAUGCACGUCGAGCGAACAGACGCGGAGCUUGCUCCUCUGACGUUAGCGGCGGACGGGUGAGUAACACGUGGAUAACCUACCUAUAAGACUGGGAUAACUUCGGGAAACCGGAGCUAAUACCGGAUAAUAUAUUGAACCGCAUGGUUCAAUAGUGAAAGACGGUUUUGCUGUCACUUAUAGAUGGAUCCGCGCCGCAUUAGCUAGUUGGUAAGGUAACGGCUUACCAAGGCAACGAUGCGUAGCCGACCUGAGAGGGUGAUCGGCCCCACUGGAACUGAGACACGGUCCAGACUCCUACGGGAGGCAGCAGUAGGGAAUAUUCCGCAAUGGGCGAAAGCCUGACGGAGCAACGCCGCGUGAGUGAUGAAGGUCUUCGGAUCGUAAAACUCUGUUAUUAGGGAAGAACAAAUGUGUAAGUAACUAUGCACGUCUUGACGGUACCUAAUCAGAAAGCCACGGCUAACUACGUG
rnacentral:rRNA from 1 species